AGUGGGUUGGUCUUCCUGCCACGGCCGCGACUUGGGUGGAUGUUAAGGAGUUUCGAGCUCAGUUUCCUUCUUAUCAGCUUGAGGGCAAGCUGAGUGUUAAAGGAGGGGGUAUUGAUAGGCUUGACAGAGUUUACGUGAGGAAGACGGGAGAGAAGGAAGCCGUUGGAGUCUGACGUGGCGGAAGAUAAUUCAAAUAAAGAAGGAGAUACUUGUUUUGAAUUAGAGUCUUUCUAAUGCUUUGUAU
rnacentral:lncRNA from 1 species